UACGAAGGGGGCUAGCGUUGCUCGGAAUCACUGGGCGUAAAGGGUGCGUAGGCGGGUCUUUAAGUCAGGGGUGAAAUCCUGGAGCUCAACUCCAGAACUGCCUUUGAUACUGAGAAUCUUGAGUAUGGGAGAGGUGAGUGGAACUGCGAGUGUAGAGGUGAAAUUCGUAGAUAUUAGGAAGAACACCGGUGGCGAAGGCGGCCAUCUGGACAGAUACUGACGCUGAGACGCGAAAGCGUGGGGAGCAAACAGG
rnacentral:rRNA from 1 species